ACAUCAAGCCUGGGGGACAAGGGAAGAAGUGAGUUCAAGUUCAAUUACUUCAUCUGCUUAUUCCGGUCAUUCUUCUCCAGGCCACUAUGCAGAGCAUCUACUGAGGACUGAGAGCAAAUACAACACAGCAUGAGAUUUUGGGCAAGACAGAUGGUUCGGGCAUGGUUUCCUGCAAAUCUUACUUUUGGCACAGCCAGGAUGCCUUAGGAAGAAUUUCAAGUGAAUUUCCAGACUUUUCUGGAAAAUGCUCAUCCUGCUUCCCUCUCUCCUCUGGCUUCAGGGCUCCCAGGGAUUCCUUUCCCCUCAACUGUCAGGAGGGACAGCGCUGAGGCCAUGCUGAGGUGGACAGAGUGGUGCUCCCCAUGCUGCCAGCUCUGCUGCAGUGUGUGUGGCUAAUGCUGAGUACCAGGCAUUGUGUUUUGGUGGAGCUGGGCCAGAAAGGAAGAAAAAAAACCAUAAAAUCAUGGAAUCAUUAAAGUUGGAAAAGGCCUCUAAGAUCUAGUCCAGCUAUUAACCCAGCGCU
rnacentral:lncRNA from 1 species